rnacentral:rRNA from 1 species
GUGUCGUAGCCAACGCGUUAAGUGUUCCGCCUGGGGAGUACGCACGCAAGUGUGAAACUCAAAGGAAUUGACGGGGGCCCGCACAAGCGGUGGAGUAUGUGGUUUAAUUCGAUGCAACGCGAAGAACCUUACCAGGGUUUGACAUCCUGCGAAUCUCUUGGAAACGAGAGAGUGCCUUCGGGAACGCAGUGACAGGUGGUGCAUGGCUGUCGUCAGCUCGUGUCGUGAGAUGUUGGGUUAAGUCCCGCAACGAGCGCAACCCACGUCUUUAGUUGCCAGCAUUUAGUUGGGCACUCUAGAGAGACCGCCGGUGAUAAACCGGAGGAAGGUGUGGAUGACGUCAAGUCAUCAUGCCCCUUACAUCCUGGGCUACACACGUACUACAAUGCUACGGACAAAGGGCAGCAAGUUCGCGAGGACAAGCAAAUCCCAUAAACCGUGGCUCAGUUCAGAUCGUAGGCUGCAACUCGCCUACGUGAAGGAGGAAUCGCUAGUAAUCGCAGGUCAGCAUACUGCGGUGAAUACGUUCCCGGGCCUUGUACACACCGCCCGUCACACCAUGGAAGUUGGCCACGCCCGAAGCCGUUACUCCAACCCUCGGGAGGAGGACGUCGAAGGUGGGGCUGAUGACUGGGGUGAAGUCGUAACAAGGUAACCGUA